GCUUCAGCGUGUAACAGAGUUAUUUAUAGCUGCCAGCCUACAGUUUUAACUAAUGCGGGGCCAAGGUUCGGUGUUAUAAACAGCUUUAUUUAUCAUGAUUGUGUGGCUAUAAAUAGUUUGGUUCGCUGGGUGUAGCAGCAUAGCUCCGUGCUGUUCUGCCAGAGCCAGCCAGAGCCGGGAGGAACGCGACAGCGUGUAGGUGAAUCCUGUCUUUUCCUCUUCUUGGCAGACCCUGUCUGUGAGUCCUUGGCCAGGCUAUUUCAUCUACUUCCUCAAUGUCCCUUUCGGAACGAGGAGUUGUGCUCUACCGUGUUCCCAGGAGGUGGUAGAAGUUACUCACGUAAUUAAUUAAUGUCUGCCCCAAGAUCGCAGUUGAAAGUUGAAAGGGAACAGGGUGCCAGCACGGCCUCCUUUGUGCCCAUUCACGGACAAUGAGCUAAUUACAGCCUCUUUCUCAUGCUGGAGGGUGGAGCGAGAUAUCCUGUUAUUCUCCAGAGCAGGCAAAGCUCUAAAGGGUCUGCGCGCCGCGUUGCUGCCAGCCCGUCUGCGGGCCGUGUUGCACCCCCACCUCCCUCAGCCUCAGGUGGAUGGCCCCUCAGCAAAUGCCUUUCCUGGAGAAAUGAAAAUGCUGCAGCCCCCGCCGCCCGACUCCCGUUCGGUUCAAACCUCUGCUCUAUCUCUGUUGCCCAGCUGCGCCUGCGGUGCCCUCCCUACCUGGCAGAGGGAGACACCUUUGGUAGUCAGACGUCCAUUUCAAACCGAAGGCACGCUCCGUUUGGAAAACGGAGCAUUUUCAUUGUGCUUUGGUUUCUGGGGGUUGGGGGGUGGAUUAAAACUGGGAUAAAUGCAAAAGAUCCUGGAGGACAAUGAGAAAGGAAAGCUCUGCAAGGAAGAGGCAGAAAGGGGGUGGAGGUGGGAGAUGGGAGGGGGCUGGCAGGACCAGUGAAAGAAUCAACCACGCUUUCAUCUUGAGUCUGAUCCAUUUCUGAACCCUGAUGGGAAAGGUCAUGAAUUUUAAAAUGCGUCUCUCCAGCCGACAGCUCCAGUCAUAAAACCCACACUCUCUGAAGCUGUAGACUGCUGCGGGAGACCCGAGACCGAGACCGAGGGAGCCGGAGGCGGGCGGGGGAGCGCCGGCCGCUGUCAGCAGGCGGAGAUGAGAGGGAGUUUGAACAGCUGUCCGGAGGAGGCUUCUGAGGUCGCCCUCCUCCCGGCCAGCUCCGGGAGGUUUCCACGAGGCCUUGGCACCAACAGAUAACUUUCUGAGCUGGCCUCCUGGCAGUGCUGGCUGCUUGUGUCACUAACAAGUCCCCUGGCCACCUGCAGUCCUGAUUCACCUGCUGAGAGGGGGUGUGGUGGGGAUGGGUUGGUGCCUUUCUCACCAGGACCCUGAGAGCUGGUCCAGAAGGGGAAGCCCGGGGUCUCCCGAUGUCUCUGAGGAGGGCAAGAGUUUGCAGGUUCCAAGUUGGGUUGUUGUUGGGGUUGCUGCCCGGCUGUGGGAGGGAUCUGAAGGCGGCUGCUGUCUUUUCUGGGCUGGAAUAGGCAAUGGUGACCAUUUUCCUUGCGGCCCUGGGGAAUGUCAGUGUAUCUUACUGGAGGAAAAGUGCAUGCUCUUGAGGAACAGUGUGUGUGUUUUUGAAAAUGUAUUGUUAUAUCUUAAACAGAAGAUAUGCUCAUUUUUUUGGUAGGACGCUGAGGAAGUGCAAUCACGGCUUAUCUGUUUGUACAUUGAGAGUUGGGAGUAUUAAGUUUUCAGAAAGCAGGAUAGUGGCAACGGAAACAAGAUUGCAGACAUUUCCCAAGGCGCCAAGCCGCCCGGAGGAGUCCCAUCAUAGCCUCCAAGAACUCUGCUCCUUAGUUGGAUGCUGAGCCCGGGGACCAGAGGCUGGUGGCCUUGGGAAGAGUGAUGCCAUGCACAGCCAAUCCUGUAGAGACACUGGGGGCUUUGGGAGCCCCAGGAGAACCCCAGCCUCUCUCUGUGUCCUGUGUGGUCGUGUCCUUACACUGCUGAAGAAUCGGGAAACCCUUCCCAGGGGUCAGAAGCGUGUGCAGGGGAAUCGCUGUGCUUCAGCAUUGGGACUUCCGGGUCUCUCAGUUUUGUGGAAGCUUUUUUAGAGGGUGUGCCAGACAAAACAGCCUCCCUCUUAUUUAAGAAAAAAAUGUUUUUAAUGUAAUAAAAUAUGCAUAAUAUAAAAUUUACCAUUUUAACCGUAUUUAAGUGUAUAGUUAUGCGGUAUGAAGUGCACUCACGUUGUUGUGAAACCGUCACCACCAUCCGUCUCUAGAACUUUUUCAUCUUCCCAAACAGAACCCCGUACCCAGUAAACACUACCUCUUCCUUCCCCCUUCCUCCCAGCCCCUGGCAACCACUGUUCUACUUUCUGUCUCCGUG
ensembl:lncRNA